rnacentral:lncRNA from 1 species
UCCACGCUCGCUUGGCAUGCUCUUCGUACUCCAUGAUACUCUGAAAUCAAGAUAGGAACGGAAGCUCUCGCCCGUCUCACUAGGAUCUUGUGAUUGCUUUCGCUUUUGCAAAUAACAAUCUUGCAGGUCUUCAAAAUGUGCACCACACACAGAGGAAGUUGGCCGACUGUUACAAUCAAGAAAUCCAAGGAGCAUACCUGAGAAAGCACUCGCCUCUUUUUCGAAAGAACCUCACUUUCUCUCACUCCAGACGUUCCCUCGUCAUCAGUUUGCGCUCGCUUAAGACGAGCUUUUUCUCCAUCCGGGGAGCUCCCUUCCGCUUCGGACGCCUUGACACGACAGCGAGAGCUAGGAAGCUUUUGGUGAACAGGCGACGCAUGACGUUCUUUGGAUUUCUUCAAACUAGUCGCCUGCUUUUCAACAGCAGCAAUGUCUUCCUUGAGCCAUUGCAGGUCUGUUUGUAUCUGAA